UCAUCUUCACAAUCUUCCUAAGAUUGCUUACCACUAUCUGCAUCCUCAACCAUCUCACUCUCUUUAUCAGAUUUACUCCUAGUCCUAAUAGUGAAGGCCACAUAAUUUCCAUUCUCAUCCUAAGUGAACCUCUUACUUUGAAUAUCUGAGUUAGACUCGUCAUCAGUGAGAGUAACAUUCAUAGUUUUAUCCUUAUUUUUCUUAAUGUUAGAGCUUUCACUCCUAUAAUGGUCAAAACUAUGACACUUAUGACAUCUCACAUAUUGAGAUCUCUUUCUAGACUCACUGGGAUCACCUCUCUGUAUCUCUUGAGGCUUUAUCUUAUUUCUAAACAUUUUGAAAUUUUUUUUAGCAAAACAAGUUAUAUCAUUAUUCGGUGACUCCGAAUUAGAAUACUCAUUAAUGUUACCCCUAAGAAUAUUCAAAGCCAAAGACUUAUCUUUUGUAAGUUUAGCUAAUGUUAGUUCAUAGGUCUGUAGAUAUCUAACCAACACUUCAACCUUAAUAGCAUCUAGUCUUUACUCUCCUCUAUAGCUGCAAUUUUAGACCUAAAUAUCUCGGAUAAAGAUCUAAGGAUCCAACAAUCUUGGUUGAAAGCUACUUCUACAACUUGAUUUAUUACCAACCCCUCACCCUCAA
rnacentral:lncRNA from 1 species